GUGGUGUCUGAAAGUAGGCAAGGUUGGCACUCCCCUUGUUCAGGAGGGAAGAGGUCCUAGCGGCCUGUGCAAUAUGCAUACUUUUACGCAUGGUCACUUACUUGGUGACACCUAACCAAGUUUUACU